AGUGAACGCUGGCGGUAGGCCUAACACAUGCAAGUCGAACGGCAGCACCGUAAGAGCUUGCUCUUACGGGUGUCGAGUGGCGGACGGGUGAGGAAUACAUCGGAAUCUACUUUUUCGUGGGGGAUAACGUAGGGAAACUUACGCUAAUACCGCAUACGACCUACGUGUGAAAGCAGGGGAUCUUCUGACCUUGCGCGAUUGAAUAAGCCGAUGUCGGCUUAGCUAGUUGGCGGGGUAAAGGCCCACCAAGGCGACGAUCCGUAGCUGGUCUGAGAGGAUGAUGAGACACACUGGAAGUGAGAAACGGUCGAGACUCCGACGGGAGGAAGCAGUGGGGAAUAUUAGACAAGGGGGGAAAGCGGGAUACAGGCAGACCGCGUGAGGGAAGAAGGAGUUAGGGUGGGAAAGUGAUGUAGUUGGGAAAGAAAAGAAGCAGGUUAAUACGGCGCGGUAAUGACGGUACCGAAAGAAUAAGCACCGGCUAACUUCGUG
rnacentral:rRNA from 1 species